UACAGAGGUCCCAAGCGUUGUUCGGAUUCACUGGGCGUAAAGGGUGCGUAGGCGGUCGGGUAAGUCUGACGUGAAAUCUCCGGGCCUAACCCGGAAACUGCGUCGGAUACUAUUCGGCUAGAGGAUUGGAAGGGAGACUGGAAUUCUCGGUGUAGCAGUGAAAUGCGUAGAUAUCGAGAGGAGCACCAGUGGCGAAGGCGAGUCUCUGGACAAUUCCUGACGCUGAGGCACGAAAGCCAGGGGAGCAAACAGG
rnacentral:rRNA from 1 species